UCUGCCACACUCCAACAUCCCAGAUCCAGGAGGGUUGGGACAUUUGAGGGCCAGGGGACACCACUUGGGGACACAGGGGCACCCUCAGGUUCCAGGGCUCAAUUGGGAAGCCACAGACCCUGGGGGGGGGGGGUUCCCUGAGGCCACCUGGGGACAACUGAACAUGGAAAAAUCCUCUCUGAGAAACCCCUCUGGGGUGAAAUGGGCACAGGGGGUCACUUGAGGGCAUUUGGGACCCUGUUUGGGGUUAUUUCAGGUCAUUGGGGUCGUGAGAGGUCAUUUGAGGCCCCAUUUGGGGUUAUUUCAGGUCAUUGGGGUCAUUUGAGGUCACAGGGGUUACUUGAGGUCAUUGGAGUCUCUGAUCCGAGUUCCUCGGGGUUACUUUAGGUCAUUUGAAGCCCCCAUCGGGGUCAUUCGAGGUCAUUUGAGGCCCUGACUGGGGUUACUUCAGGUCAUUGGGGUCAUGAGAGGUCAUUUGAGACCAUGUUCGGGGUUACUUCAGGUCAUUGGGGUCGUGUGAGGUCAUUUGAGGUCCUGUUCGGUGUUAUUUCAGGUCAUUGGGGUCAUUUGAGGUCCUGUUCAGGCCCCAAUAAUUGAUCAGGGGUCAGAUGAGGACACAGGAGUUCAUUCUUAUGAGCUGGGGCCAAAGGACAAGGGACACUUUGUGCCCAAACACUGCCAGGCCAGUCCAGGGCAGCCCAAAGCCCCAGGGCCCUGUGGGGUCACCCAUCAUUCACCCUCUGUCCUCUCAGGGUGCUGGUUAUUAGCUUUAUUAAUAUUUUUUAUUAAUUAGUAGUGUAUUAGUGUUUAUUAAUCAUCUCCUGUACACAUCAGCAUCUAGAGUAUUGGUGUUAGCUACUAAUACAAUAUCAAUAAAUUCUAAUACCAAAUUCUAUUUACAGUAUUAUUUUUUUUAAAGAUCCAGUGGUAUAAUCACUUCUUACAGCCUAAAACUAGGAUUAUUUAUUAGAAUAAACAGAUUUAUUAGCAUUGGUAGUGAUUAGUGUAUUAUUAGCAGCCACAGGGGCAUAAAUGGGUCCUGUUGGAACCUCCAGGUGAUUAUGGAAUGUCCUUUCCCCCUUUCUGUCUGUGGGAACAAACUCCACCACUCAGCUUUGAAUCUGUACUUUAUUUUCACAUAUAUAAAAAAAAAACCUUGCAAGUUAUCAGACAAAAAACAAACAAACAAAAAAAAAAA